rnacentral:rRNA from 1 species
GAUGAACGCUGGCGGCGUGCCUAAUACAUGCAAGUCGAGCGAACAGACGAGGAGCUUGCUCCUCUGACGUUAGCGGCGGACGGGUGAGUAACACGUGGAUAACCUACCUAUAAGACUGGGAUAACUUCGGGAAACCGGAGCUAAUACCGGAUAAUAUAUUGAACCGCAUGGUUCAAUAGUGAAAGACGGUUUUGCUGUCACUUAUAGAUGGAUCCGCGCCGCAUUAGCUAGUUGGUAAGGUAACGGCUUACCAAGGCAACGAUGCGUAGCCGACCUGAGAGGGUGUUCGGCCACACUGGAACUUAUACCCGGUCCAGACUCCUACUGGAGGCAGCAGUAGGGAUUCUUCCACCAUGGGCGAAAGCUUGACGGAGCAACGCCGCGUGAGUGAUGAAGGUCUUCGGAUCGUAGAACUCUGUUAUUAGGGAAGAGCAAAUGUGUAAGUAACUAUGCACGUCUUGACGGUACCUAGUCAGAGAGCCACGGCUAACUACGUG